UGUUCUGUGGUUUAUUUGAUUAGCGGUCCGGUCUAGCGAAUACGAAGUCGUGGGUUCAAAUCCCACCAGAACGA
rnacentral:tRNA from 1 species